rnacentral:rRNA from 1 species
UUCGCAAUGCCCGAAAGGGUGACGAAGCGACGCCGCGUGUGGGAAGAAGGCCUUCGGGUUGUAAACCACUGUCGGGAGUUAAGAAAUGUAAGGGUGUUAAUAGUAUCCUUACUUGACUAAGGCUCCGGAGGAAGCCACGGCUAACUCUGUGCCAGCAGCCGCGGUAAUACAGAGGCGGCAAGCGUUGUUCGGAAUUAUUGGGCGUAAAGAGCACGUAGGCGGCUGUGUAAGUCGGUUGUGAAAGCCUUCCGCUUAACGGAAGAACAGCGACCGAUACUGCAUAGCUAGAGUGCGGGAGGGGAGAGUGGAACUUCUGGUGGAGCGGUGAAAUGCGUAGAUAUCAGAAGGAACGCCGGCGGCGAAAGCGGCUCUCUGGACCGUAACUGACGCUGAGUGUGCGAAAGCUAGGGGAGCAAACGGGAUUAGAUACCCCGGUAGUCCUAGCCGUAAACGAUGGGCACUAAGUAGAGGGGUUUU